UCGUGUUGUACUAAUGAAGAGAAGACCUAGCAAAUUCAGGGAACGCGGCCACUCACUAAGCUUUGCAGCAGCCACCUUUGUAGAGAUUGUCAAUCUUCAUCACAAAUCACAAGCAUCCCUCCAUCGACUGAAAAGUCUCGUCCCCUGAAAAGGUUUUGAAAAUAAAGAGUGGUCUGCUGUUCUAUCAGGAGCGUUCUUAGUUGCUGUGUAGUACUUCGCAAGUUUUCAUUCUUUUUAUUACUUUUGUUGUAUUUAAGGUAUCCGUAUUCUAGCUUGUUGUUUUGAAUGCCUUCAACAUGCAGGUUGUUGUCCAUUGUUGUGGUUUGGCCAUUGUGCAUAGGUUCAUUGUUUGAUUGUAUCAUGUUAUGAUUGUCAUUUGCCCUCGAAGCCCACUGUGUUUUUGUUUUUAGGAUUUCUGUUUUCAGUUUAGAAAUGACCUUUUAUUUUUCUUUCUUGUGUUUGGAGAAAAUUUCUUUUGACUUUUGUGUAUUCUUCAUUGUUAAUGCUAAGCAGAUUAAGGUGAAGAUUUUUGAACCUUUUGAUCACCUUGUGUUGAUCACAUUGCUAAGCAAUAUAGAUUUAAUUGGUGUUUCUGUGUGAAAGUGUUAAUAUGUCUAAAUUAUGUAGGCAAUCCUGCAUUUUAGGCCUUAACUUGAAGUUUUAUGAUAGUAAAUGCUGUUUCAUAUGUAGACACCCAUAUAAAAAAAGCAUUUAGACAACCUAAUUCUGUGGUUUCACUCUUUCCUCUUCUUUUCUGUUGAAACUUGAAAUUGCAGAUUGAAAAAAAUGAAGCAUAUUGUGAAGAUUAUAACAUUAUUAAUGGCCAUCACCACUGUAUGGGUUGGCCUUUUGCAAACUUCUAUGAUUCCAAGCAGCCAUACUUGGUCGUUGAGUGCUCAUGUUUUUGUGUUUCUUUAUCUUUUAGUGGAAUUUAUUCUGUGCAAUACUUACAAUGCCUUGUUUCCCCCCUUUAUCCAGCUACUUGUUUAUUGCAUUGUGUCUUUAGGAUGCUAUGGCUUAUUAAUGGUUGGAGUAGGUCUCAUGCAAUUUCCUACCUGUCCUAGAGAGGCCCUGCUGUUGCAACAGGACAUUAUUGAGGCCAAGGGCUAUUUGAAGCAAAGAGGAAUUGAUGUCAGUGUCAGCUGAAGCAAUGAUCUCAUGAACAUGAUGCAGCAAAAUUAUAAUCUGUCUGAUCACAAUUAUCUGAUUGAGAAUUCUCAACAGUAUAUUUAUCUUGAUAAUUGUAUUCUAAUUUGAUAAUUUCUAAAGUGAAAAUCUCAGAAAAUUUCAUUGAUA